rnacentral:rRNA from 1 species
GUCGAACGGAGUUAUUACGAAUGAAGUUUUCGGAUGGAUUUUGUUUUAACUUAGUGGCGGACGGGUGAGUAACGCGUGAGCAACCUGCCUUUGCAUUCGGGAUAACAGCUGGAAACGACUGCUAAUACCGAAUAACGUACAUUGAUUGCAUGUUUAAUGUACCAAAGAUCCGUCGUGCAAAGAUGGGCUCGCGUCUGAUUAGAUAGUUGGUGAGGUAACGGCUCACCAAGUCAACGAUCAGUAGCCGGGCUGAGAGGUGGAACGGCCACAUUGGAACUGAGAUACGGUCCAGACUCCUACGGGAGGCGGCAGUGGGGGAUAUUGGGCAAUGGGCGAAAGCCUGACCCAGCGACGCCGCGUGAGGGAAGAAGGUCUUCGGAUUGUAAACCUCUGUUGAUAGGGAAGAAGAAAGUGACGGUACCUAUCGAGGAAGUCACGGCUAACUACGUGCCAGCCGCCGCGGUAACAC